GACGAAGGAUCCAAGCGUUAUCCGGAUUUAUUGGGUUUAAAGGGUGCGUAGGCGGACUUGUAAGUCAGUGGUGAAAGCCCGAUGCUUAACAUCGGAACUGCCAUUGAUACUGCAAGUCUUGAAUAUGUUUGAAGUGGGCGGAAUGUGCCGUGUAGCGGUGAAAUGCUUAGAUAUGACACAGAACACCGAUUGCGAAGGCAGCUCACUAGACCAUUAUUGACGCUGAGGCACGAAAGCGUGGGGAGCAAACAGG
rnacentral:rRNA from 1 species